CUUCCAUGCGAUGGAAGAGAAAUCCUGCCCCCCGGAGACUCGCCGCGACCCGCCGGGUGCGCUUCCCCCCCAGCCCCCUGCCUUGCUUCCCCGGGGAAAUGUGUGAUUUGUUUUGGUUUCCAAACCACUUCAUCCCGCUUCUCCUCCCUUAUCGCUGGUUUUCCGCAUCAAGACCCUCAUCUGCGAGGCACGGGGUCCCUGACUUCACGUUGCCUUCCUAAAUGUGCCCGGGAGCGCAGCCGGCACCCCGGCGGGACGGGAAAUUGGGGGAGCUCCGAUGCUUCCCACACAUCCCUCCCGUCGUUCGCGGAAUCCUUCGGUUGCUGCUCCGCCACCGAUUCGGACCCACUAGGAAGAAUUAUUCCACAGAAUCAGUCUGCCCUGUUUUUCACAGAGCUAACAAGGGAGCCUGCACAUGCUGCCCCAGAGCAGACAUUGCAAGGAUUUUCUUCAAGUGGAGAAAGCAGAGGUUUUGGAGAAAGUACUGGGGAAGAUGUGCCGAGUCCUGGUUCAGCACCGUAUCUGUGACAGCGGUGCUGCCGCCUCCAUUACCUCCCGUGUCCCAAGUGUCACUGUGGUUUGAUUUUCCUUUCCAGGAGGACUUUAGAUAAUUGCUCCCCGAGGGGCCGGGCAGAGAGCGAGGAGCAGAGACUGAUAAUCCGGGAGGACAUGGAUACAAAUAUCAGGCUGCUGCGCUGAGUGCCUGCUUAAUUUAUUGGGAACGAGCUGUUACUCAGCACUUUGCAGGAUUAGACCCGCUGUAAUUCUGUUAUUUAAGGAGAGGCAGAGCCGAACCACAACAACAACCCACCCGGGGCCGCUGUGGAGACGGGCGGCGCUGGAGAGGAGCACAUGCUGGUUUAUUUUUUACGCUAUGGAAAGAAUGAGCUUUUAGGACACAAAGUCCUGGCGAGGGGGAGGUGGGAGGGGGGUGAGGGGACAGCCUGGCUCCGUGCUGGCCGCCCCAGCCCAGGGCUGCUGCUGGCAGCCGCUGGUGCCGGACAGGUGGGGACAGCACCCAGGUGACAACCGGGACACCACCAGCGCCUGCUGGCUCCCGCUUGGAACGCAGAGUGUUGUGUUCAUUGUAUCUCAUCGUGUAGUGAACCAGCACUCCUCUGGUGGGCUGUUCUUAUCUAGGACUUCACCAAAAAAAUGAUAAUUCAGCCCCCUUCCGUCUUCAAGUUUACCUUAGGCUCUCUCUGCAUCCUCGAAAUUGGUGUGAAUUACCCAGCAGGAUGCCAAGAGGCUUGAACAGAGUAAAGAAAAGUGCCCUCUCUUUGUCUUCUCUGUCUUCGCCUGAUGGACCUCUUCUUUCAUACUGUAUUUGGUAGAAUUAUCUGAAUUUUCACUAGCCGGUGAAAAAGCCCCACCUUCUGGGAAACCAAAGGCCUGGAAAGAAAUGUUUAGACCUUCUGGCCCAAUUGGAAGUUGGAGUGACAUUAAAAUACAGUGGCCUUUUCUGUAGAAGGUUUCUCUCUUUGAGGAAAAGAAAUGUAUUUAUCCGAUUGUCUA